CGUAGGGGGCAAGCGUUGUCCGGAUUUAUUGGGCGUAAAGAGCGUGUAGGCGGCCAGGUAGGUCAGCUGUGAAAACUCGAGGCUCAACCUCGAGACGCCGGUUGAAACCAUCUGGCUAGAGUCCGGAAGAGGAGAGUGGAAUUCCUGGUGUAGCGGUGAAAUGCGCAGAUAUCAGGAAGAACACCCGUGGCUAAGGCGGCUCUCUAGUACGGUACUGACGCUGAGACGCGAAAGCGUGGGGAGCGAACAGGAUUAGAUACCCUGGUAGUCCACGCCGUAAACGAUGGGUGCUAGGUGUGGGGGGUGUCGACUCCCUCCGUGCCGCAGCUAACGCAUUAAGCACCCCGCCUGGGGAGUACGGCCGCAAGGCUA
rnacentral:rRNA from 1 species